AAACGGGUGGGCCCUCGAAAUCCCACUGCGGGGGGAUUCAGUCGGAAGGCGAUGUGGACGAUGCGGAGCGACCGACAGGUGAACUGCGGAACGCGCUCUGCUCGGCCCGUGCUGCCCGACGCACUUCCUCCCGCACAGAGGACGCCGCAGCCGGUUGGGUAGCCAGUCGGCCAUGAGGGGUCCGUCAGCGGCAGGUGACGGGAGGCUCGCCUCCGCGCGCAGCCUUCCGUUGUUAGCCCGUGGACCCCGGGCGCGACGCCCGACCGAGGAGAAGGAGCCCACAUCACGGGCUCCAGCCGCGCACUCGCCCUGCGAGCGGGGCGGUGAGGCAAGGGCGAAGACUCGGACGGAACCACCCACGCGCGGUGGCUCGUCCUUGAGUAGCUCUGCUGGCUUCACGAGACCGCGGCGAGCGCUGACGGCUAGCGGCGAGUAGGUCGGUCACCCACCCGACCCGUCUUGAAACACGGACCAAGGAGUCUAACAUGUGCGCGAGUCGCAGGGUCUUGAACAGGCCCGUGGGCGCAAUGAAAGUGGCUGGUCGCAAGACCUACGCCGCGUUGGGAUCCCCGGACUCGUUCCGGGGCGCACCAACGGCCCGCCCCGUCCGAUUUAUCGGUGGGUCGGAGUCGGAGCGCACACGUUGGGACCCGAAAGAUGGUGAACUAUGCCCGGGCAGAACGAAGCCAGGGGA
rnacentral:rRNA from 1 species